AUUGCGCAGGAGAUGUAUCCUUUCUCUUGUUGAUACACAUUUGGAUUGUUUCCAGUUUGGGGGUAUUUUAAAGCUGUUAGGAAAUUCUUGUGCUCAUUUCUAAUUUUUAGCAAGUAAUAUUAACUUGAAUUUGUUUCAUCAGACCUUUAAAAUGCAGGUUUGAACAUUUAGGAAUAUUGUACAGGGAAUGGAUCCACAAGAUAUCUGCUUGUUUUUGAUGCAGUGUGAAGAAUGCAUGAUCAUUGCAUUCACAUUGAGUUGAGCUGGAUGGUUGUAAAGAUAUGCUUGGCCGCUAUUGAAUUACCUAAAAAUUAAUUUGUAGCAGGCAGGAGCAACUGUGGCAUUGCCAAGUCUCAUUCCCAGCCCUCAUGUCCUAGAAGAUGAAUGGGAUGGAGCCAGAAGUGAUGUGUAAAAUGGGAUGGAAGCAGAAGAUAGAUUCCACUGCUAAAAACUGCAUGGAUUAUGGGAAGUUGGGGACGAGAGAGGGGAAUGAGUAGUAUCUUGUUCUGUCGGCCUCCUCGAUCCAAGGCUUUCUUGUGAAUUCGUUUUUAC
rnacentral:lncRNA from 1 species